CAGUCGCCACGGUAAUACGAAGGGGGCUAGCGUUGUUCGGAUUUACUGGGCGUAAAGCGCACGUAGGCGGAUAUUUAAGUCAGGGGUGAAAUCCUGGAGCUCAACUCCAGAACUGCCUUUGAUACUGGGUAUCUAGAGUCCGGAAGAGGUGAGUGGAACUCCUAGUGUAGAGGUGGAAUUCGUAGAUAUUAGGAAGAACACCAGUGGCGAAGGCGGCUCACUGGUCCGGUACUGACGCUGAGGUGCGAAAGCGUGGGGAGCAAACAGGAUUAGAUACCCGGGUAGUCCCUGUCUCUUAUAC
rnacentral:rRNA from 1 species